rnacentral:misc_RNA from 1 species
CUGAUCAUGUAGUAGAAUGGCUUUUUCCCUACCUCAACUGCUGCAUUUUGCCCCUCGGAAGCAUCUACUGAGGAGCCUCCUGGAGAGGAUGGUGAGGCUUCUUUAGCCUCAUCGGUGACCUCCAUUUCUUGAGGUCUUUUUUCAUCACCAUCAAUGGUAACUAGCUGUUCUCCUUCAUUUUCAUCAUCCUGAAUGCAAUUGAUGGUUCCUUCACUAGUAAUAGCAGAGCCAUUCAGACCCUCACAUUCAGAU